AUGAAGAACACAUGUAGCAAAAAAAAAAUUUCGGAAGAAAUUUAGCCGGGGCCUGCCAAGGCGCGCCCGUGGGUUUGGGCCCGGCGUCGUCACGCUAGAAAUUGGCAUCGACGCUAAAGAACGCCGCAACGUAAUCAGUGGCAUGCUGAGAUCCACAAGAACGUUAAGUAAGGCGGACGUGCACCAUUCAGUAUGAUUUAAAAUUUUUGUCAAGGCUUUUAUUUUGGAAGUUUUGUUAAACU